UCUUUAGCUGGUGUUUCCUGUUAAAAGUUACUAAAAAUAACAGGAUACUAUGUAAUGGAAAUAUCGGCCUAAAGGCAGCUCAUUUUGGACUUAUGUGACAUAUGUCACAGUAGUCGAUAUCUCUGCUUCUGCUUAUUGUGAGUCAUUCCUGUCUGCCUGAACAGAUGGGAUUUGUAGCAAACAGCAGCUACUUUCUAUGCCAUGUGUUAUCCUUAUUCUGUUAUUUCUAUUCAUUUGGGAAACACGACCGAUAUGGAUUUUUGGGGGCUGAUAGCGAUAUCUAUAAGAGUGAUUAAAAAACAAUCUGAUACUGGUAUAUCUGCUGAUAUAUGCAUGAAAACACUUGAUUUUCAAACCCUUAUGACAAAGAAAUGUAAUUGGCGCUUGAUAGUUGACAGUUUAAACAUGAAUUUUAUUACAAAUAAUCAACCAAAGCAUGUCAUGUUGCGUUGCUCAGCAUUUGCAUAAAAUGCAACAGCAACCCGUUGUCUCUUGUCACUAUAAAAUGCCCACUCUGAUUAAAAAUGAAUGGCAGCAGGUACAUGUGCCAUUUGUAGGGGUCCCAGCCAUGCUUAACAGCAUUGGGAAUGGUACCAUCAAAGCCUCCUAAACUGGUCAAACUAUGCAAUGACACCAUUUCUAACAGCUAAAGUGUUUUUCUACACCGUACAUUUUGUAACAGGGCUAUUCCAUAGGGCGCCGUUCUACUGUGAUUGCCCAUGAUCCAAAAAAGUGCAAAAACAGGAUGAAAUAGCUUAAUCUAGCUUCCUUCCUAACAGGCUUGCUUAUAAAAUGCAGACGUGGCAACCUGCCUGAAAACAAAAGAAAGGAUGGCCGUCACCACUAUGUAUAACAAAUUUGCUCAAGAUUGACAAAGAUGGAUCAAUAAGUUACGAUGAUGCUUCAGAACACGCCCCGAUUUGCUAUUCGGGAUUGAACGGGAAGGAAUGGCGCUCUGUGGAAUAGCCCAAAAUUAAUGCUGACAUAUUUAAGAAGUGCUCUUAACCAGUAUUAUGGGCAAACCGAUAUAUUAAUUAGACUCUGGUGAGAAGAGUCACAUGAACUCUGGUAUAUAGAUUAAACAAGUAAACCAGCGGGAAAGCCGGACAUCUUGUCUGGUCUCUAGUCACUUGGCAAAAGAGGUGAAAUGGAUGAAUGCAACCUGAACCCAUCUAUAAUCUCAGACUUAGGGAACAAGCUAACACUAACAGGUUAACCUUUGGUUCUGUAUUUUAUUAAAGCAUAUUUUUUGUGGACUGUGUUGGGUUUUAUGACAGAGUGUUGGUUUUAAUGUAGAGUGGAGCUAAUGUCAGCUAAAGCGUAAUACCUGCUAAUAUGCUAAUGGUGCUAACAUACCAAAUGAAAUAAGAUUAAAAAUUUCACUCUAUGGAAAUACUGGAGCACAGACUUCUUCAGUAAUCCCUUUGGACAAUUAACUGGACAACAAACUAUAUUAUUGCAGCAGCACUAGCAACUGGCUCCAAAAAUUGACAAUAUUGCUUGCUGUCGAAUAAUACAAGACUGCAAUGUAAAGGUUUUGGAGUCAACGUUGACUAUGGUAAACAUAAGUAAAAUAUAAAGAAAAGUGAGACUGGAUUUGACUGACAAACCACAUGAACCAAAUUAUUUCAAUUUGAUGAUGCUCACGAUGACAAUUGUGCAGCAGUCGUCUCAACCUGCUCUCUGCUGGUCAUUACACAUCACAAUAUCAUCUGCAAACAUCUCAUCCAUAUAGGCUCCUGUCACUAUACCACAAAUUCUGAUUGUUUGAUCAAUUUCUUUUUCUUAUAAUAAAUCAUCACUCUGCCAGACUUCCCAUCAACGUAUGAUGCAAUUUUGAAAAUCCUGAUGACUUUGGGGUUUUCAGUUUCACUGGUCAUAGAACAAAUGAAAACCCAGCAGCAAUGGUGAAAAUCAAUGUGACAUAUCUGAAGAAUGAAAAAACAUAUUUCAGUCAUUACAUUUUCUAAUAAUAUUUGUGGUAUUCUGAAACAGAUAUUUGCUUUUAAAUUAUAAAAAUUGAAGAUUAAUAAUAUCUCUCCGUGUUUAUGUAUGUAACUUGUCAGUGAUUAAACAGUGAAACUCCCUAUAUGGCAAAACUUGAAAUGUAUCAUUUCCAUCCACUAAAUUUAUUGUAUUUUAUAUAGCUAUUAAUAUAGUUUAUUAUGAUGCAUAAAAUGUUUUUGUACCUGUUCUGCUAAAUUAUCGAUGUUAAUUUAUGCCAAAAAUGUGAUAUGCUAUAUAAAUAUUUACACAUAACCAGAGACACAAAAAGGUCUAUUGAGGCAAAAUUAGGUUAAGGAUUAAUAUAUAUAUAUAUAUAUAGAGAGAGAGAGAGAGAGAUAGAUAGAUAGCUAGAUAGAUAGCUAGAUAGAUAGAUAGAUAGAGAGACAGCAGACCCAGUAUCCACUCAAAUUCAUCAGUAUUCUUCAGACAUAUGGAGGGAAAAAAAAAGGAAUUUUGGCUUUAGGUUUAGUGGCCAUGUUGGAAAAAAAAAGGCAGCCAUCUUGGAUUUUUCUUGACUCAACAGAAAAAUUGAAUAGUACCUCAAUGUGAACAUUUGUCUUUGUUUUCACUGUACCACAGCAUGUUAGAGAUGAAAUCAAAUGAUCAAUAUCAGUUCAUAUGAUUUUCAGCUUUAAUUUGAGGGUAAAUAUGUCAAAAAUGAGUGAAAAACAUUGGGUUCACAUUGACCCUUUAUGGCCGAUAUUAGGAUUUGGUGAAAAUAAGUUUAUUUUUGUGCAGUUCUCCUAACAAACCAACAGAAUGACCAUUUUAAUAACAUGGACUGUG